AUAUAUUCAAGUAAAAAUGAAAAUUCACAUUAAAAAUGUAUUUACAAGACAAUGAGCAAUUAUGUUUGUCUCUUUCCUAGCAAACUUUAUAUAAGAGUUGUUACAAAUAACAUUAAGAAGAGACCAAUAUUUAAUAAGAAUAACAUCAAGCUCAAUUAUAUUUUGAAAGGAACGGUUAAAGGCACAAACUACCACCACUUAGUCAAUAGAAAACACAACAUUUAUGAAAAUUAAUUCAGCCAUCCAUUCCACACUAACAAGGAGUCCCAUAGCUUCACCUACAUUGACCAAACAAUUGGUCCCACCCAAAUAGUUUUGCCUCUAAUAAAAAGACCAACUUUAUCCCUUAAACAAAGACCAUUUCUUGUCAUAUUAUGCACAAACGAGAAAGAAGCAUCAAUAUUUCAUUUUAAGGUUGCCAUUGAGGUCCUGCAUCAGUUGUACGAAUCAUCACAUUCGAAAUCGAGCUUCCCUCCACUCAUCCAACAAUUUUUUUUACUACGAAAGACAAUCUCAGUAGGCCGUUCAUCUUCAUGGUCCCACACAACAAGAUUCCUAUUUCUCUACAAGUUUCACAACAUUAUAGCGAACAUAUUAUCCUUAUCCUUAGACAGUCAACUCAAUAACUUAAAAAUAAUUUCUCUAAACUCAUAUCCGGACUUUAGAAUAAAGGGAAUAUUAUGUUUCUUGUUUAUAAUUUGUAAUGACUAUAAGAUAAAUUAAUAUAUACUUAUAUUAAUUUUCAAUGCAAAAUAAUAUUUUCUAUGUUCAUUUUUAAUUAUUAUUUUAUGAUUAUUUAUAUGUACUAAAAUAACCAAUAUAUUUUUCUAUUGUGGAGAAAAUUGUAUAUCUUUUCCUAUAAAGAAUCUUUAACUAUUUAUUAUCUCAUUUCUAUUUAUAAGUUUAUUUGGCAUUUUCACCUAUAUUAUUAAGAAAAUUUAGUGGUGUGAUUGAUGUGUACAUUGUAUAACCCAAAUUACCAUGUGUGCAUAGUUGUGUUUAAUAUUAAAUUUUCAUUUCCUAAAUAAAAUGAUAGUAUACUCCUUUCGAUCACUCUUACAAACAAAAAAGUUAAUUUUACAAUUAUUAAAGAGUUCAGAUAAACACAAUUAAUUUUCUAAAUUUUAUGUCAAAUAUAUAAAACUUUCCAUUUUUAAUGUUUAAACAAUCAACUAUUCACGUUAAAUGUUUGUGAAUUAAAUGAAAGAUAAAUUAGAAAUAAUAAUAUUAAAUAUUUUUUUUACAUAUUGAAAAUAUACAUUAAUUUUAUUUAUAUUUCAUUUAAAAAAAUAAUAUUUUAAUUUUACUUAUAUUUUUUUCUACCCAAAAGCAUACUAGUAGUAGCAUAUUCACCAUUCUUGUUUGAGUUGUUUCCAUGGGUUCCAAGUAUAUUUUGCAUUAUGUUUUUUGAUUAGGAAGGUUUGAGUUGGAUUUGCAAAUAAAAAUUGUUGAUAUUUAUGGCAAGAAACGGUUGCAAGUGACUUGAAUAUGUGGAUCUCAUAAAACAAUUAAUUGUGGCAUAUAGAAAGCAUUAAAGAGCAAUAAAAGCAAUUCUACCUGCCCCUUAGACCGACACUAAAUGAGUCAGAAUCAUUAACUCAUGUAUUGAAGUUAUUUUAGCAUUUCUCUUGCAAAAUAGUGGCAUUCUGUUCAUUUUAUUAUAUUCAAAAAUAUGUUUUGUUCCUCUUUUAAAAUAGACAUGUUAUGUUUUAAAAUUUAUAAAGCAAAAAUCCAAAAAAUUAUAUGUGAUGGACUUUCGAAAUUUUUUUCUCAAAACAAUGUCUAUACAUGUUUAUUCUAAGAAAAAUUCCACUGUAAUGUAAUUAGUCAAAAUUAUGAUAUAUUUUAAAAUAUAGAAGAGUAUAAUAUAUUGUAAAAUAUAAAAGAGUAAAUAAUUCAACCAAAAACAAAGAAGAAGAGGAAAGAAAGUGCAUUAUAAAAGAUUAAAAUAUUGUUGCUAAUUUCACACAUUAAAAAAUUACUAAAAAUAAAAGAGAAUACUAUUUUAAUCGAAUUAUUUCUAUUAAUAAUUAAUCUAUUUUCCUCUAUUAUAAAUGUAAAAUGUAAUAUAAUAUUUUGAAAAUAAUAUAGAUAAUAUUAUGUUAAAAAUGUAAUGUAAUAUAAUGGAUAAUUUUAAGUUGAAAAUUAACAUUUAUUUUGAGACAAUAUUUUACUAAGUGACACUCAUUGUAAGACAUAAAAUCAUAAAUUUUAAAAUUCAUAUAUAAUUAAUCAUUAACAUAUAAAUUUAAGAAUAAUACUUACGAGUUUAGUAACAGGAGUUACAUAGAAUGAAUGAAAUAUGAAAAGUUUUAGGGAGUUUGAGAUCCCAUGAAUCUCAUUAAAACCUUAUAAGAAAAACACAAUGCAAAAAUUCAUAAUGAAAAGAACAGAGCACAAAAUUUUCCGUGCUAUGAAAAUCAUCUCAUUAUAAAUUUUAUUCAAAAAAUCCGAUUAGACAAAACCGUAACUAAAUAAAAAUAGUAUAAAAUAUAUUUAUUUAUCGACCCCCUUAUACAAUAGUAUAAAAUAUAUUUAUUUAUUCCCUUAAGUAGGAAAUCAUCUAUGAGAUAAGAAAUGUCAAUCAUUUGUAAUAGUUUUUUAAUAUUUAAUUACUUUAUACAAAGAGUUAACCCAAUAGUAUGACCACUAAAACAAUCACUUUAACCUCCAAAUAAAAUUAAGGAUGAAUUGUUGGUAAGAAUUUAAAUUUUAAUUGGAAUAAUUGUUGGUCAAACUUUACUUAUAGUCCAUUUUCUUAAGGAUAAGACAUAUACAAUUGAAAUGACAAUUGAUAUCAAACCUUUACCAACUAUGAACAUAAGCAUAGUGUCAUUCUUUGAACCAACAUGCUCAAGAUUUGUUGAUAAGGAAAAAGAUCUUUCCAAUAAAGGUUCAGUGUUGAGUAAUUAAGUUGGUUCUAAGUACAAUAUUCAUUCAGGUGCUCUGAUUAUAACAAAACACUUCAUAACAUCAGAACAAUAAUGUAUCCCCCAAUAAUUAUUUUAAGUAUUCAGAGAAUACCUUUAGUAAAGCAAAUUUAAGAAGGGUUGAGUAAUCUUAUAGUAAUUAUAUGAUUAUUAUUAUUUAAUGAUCUCAAACUACAAAGUGCGUUCGAAGAUACGAAUUGAAAAUCGUUUGGUUAGUGGAGAUGAAAAGAUAGUUCAACAAAAAAAAUUGAAGUAGUGUCUACACUAGUUAAAUGUCUACAUUAUAUUAUGCCAUUAAUUGAUAUGAGUAAAAUAUCAUAUGAUAGAAAUAUCAAACGCACUUAUACAAGUAUAAGUUCAAGCUCUAAAGUCCAAAAAAAUAAUAGAUUUGAAUCAAUUGAGUGUAUAAAGACCACCUUGUACAGAAGAGAUAGUCUUGCUGAGAAGAACGGUUUGGUGUUGAUGCAUGUAGACACUUAGAUAAUACUUGUGUCCAUUGGUAUGACGAGUGAAGUCAAAUUUAUGAGAAGACAAGUUUAGUGUUGAUGUCUUGAGAGGUGGAUAUUACUUAACCCAAGAGACAAGUGAUGCCAAAAUUUGAGUAAUCUAGAUAAUGUACUUUUGGUGUUUGGAGAAGCUUUGCAAGUAAUCUAGAAAAUGUACUUUUGGUGUCUAGAGAAGCUUUACAAUACUUAAUAUCUGGAUAGAUAAAGAAAUAAUAUUCAUUGUUUGGAGAUGUGGAUAAUGCUCAAUGCUUGGAGAAAUAAGAAAAAAGUAUUUAAU
rnacentral:lncRNA from 1 species